rnacentral:lncRNA from 1 species
AUACAUAGCAAACACGUACUUCGUGAUUUUGUUUGCACAUAGCUCCCAAAUCGAUCAAGAAUGAUCGUACGAAACAAACUGCACAAGGGAAAAAAAUCCAACAAGCUUGAGAGGUAAUUGUUUUUGCGGAAGUUGCUCUUAUGAAGCAAUAAGAGGGGCUUUUUACAACUUGAAUAGGUAUUAUCUGGAAAGCAAAAUUUGGUACAUAUAUUCUGCCCCGUUUGAUUUUCAUUCUUUGGCCACAAAAAUAAAAAAUAUGACCGUUAUCUAUCUCUUGUGUGGGUCCCAUAACUACUGUAUGUUUCAUUAUUAUUCUUACAAAAAUGGGAACCAAACGGGAUCUCUGCAUACUUCCUCUUUAUAUGAUCGUCUUGAUCUAAAGUUACAAAUAAUUUUGGAAAAGCAAACACACUGCAAAUUAAUUUUAAGUAAUUGUGAAGGGAGAAUACAAAAUUGUUAAUGCUCCUCCUCGGGCUUCUUGGGUUUGCGGUAUUUUUCUUCGACUUGUUUGGCCGAGUAAAGUGCCUCAUUGAAUAACUUUUUGAUGUUGGGAACGUUGUAAUUCUGAGCUAUGUAAACUCCAAACACGGUGCCUGCAAUGAAUGAGAACUUAUUCAUUAAUAUACCCAUCGCUUCUUCUAAAGCUUUUUGAUUCUUCUUCUUCUGCAAGACUUGAAGAGAAAUAUUUGAG